CGUGGGUGAUCUGCCCUGCACUUCGGGAUAAGCUUGGGAAACUGGGUCUAAUACCGGAUAGGACCAUGCUUUAGUGUGUGUGGUAGAAAGUUUUUCGGUGUAGGAUGAGCCCGCGGCCUAUCAGCUUGUUGGUGGGGUAAUGGCCUACCAAGGCGGCGACGGGUAGCCGGACUGAGAGGUUGGUCGGCCACAUUGGGACUGAGAUACGGCCCAG
rnacentral:rRNA from 1 species